GAUGAACGCUGGCGGCGUGCCUAAUACAUGCAAGUCGAGCGAACAGACGAGGAGCUUGCUCCUCUGACGUUAGCGGCGGACGGGUGAGUAACACGUGGAUAACCUACCUAUAAGACUGGGAUAACUUCGGGAAACCGGAGCUAAUACCGGAUAAUAUAUUGAACCGCAUGGUUCAAUAGUGAAAGACGGUUUUGCUGUCACUUAUAGAUGGAUCCGCGCCGCAUUAGCUAGUUGGUAAGGUAACGGCUUACCAAGGCAACGAGGCGUAGCCGACCUGAGAGGGUGAUCGGCCACACUGGAAGUGAGAAACGGUCCAGACUCCUACGGGAGGCAGCAGUAGGGAAUCUUCCGCAAUGGGCGAAAGCCUGACGGAGCAACGCCGCGUGAGUGAUGAAGGUCUUCGGAUCGGAAAACUCUGUUAUUAGGGAAGAACAAAUGUGUAAGUAACUAUGCACGUCUUGACGGUACCUAAUCAGAAAGCCACGGCUAACUACGUG
rnacentral:rRNA from 1 species